rnacentral:rRNA from 1 species
CGUCGUGAGACAGUUCGGUCCCUAUCUGUUGUGGGCGUAAGAAAUUUGAGAGGCUCUGACUUUAGUACGAGAGGACCGAGUUGGACGAACCUCUGGUCUACCGGUUGUGGUGCCAACUGCACCGCCGGGUAGCUACGUUCGGUGAGGAUAAGCGCUGAAAGCAUCUAAGUGCGAAACCCUCCUCAAGAUGAGAUUUCUUUUAAAGGUCGUUAAAGACGAUGACGUUGAUAGGCUACAGGUGUAAAGGCAGUAAUGUCAAAGCU